rnacentral:rRNA from 1 species
UACGUAGGGUGCAAGCGUUGUCCGGAAUCAUUGGGCGUAAAGAGCGUGUAGGCGGCUCGAUUAGUCCGCUGUGAAAGUCCAGGGCUCAACCCUGGGAUGCCGGUGGAAACUGUCGGGCUAGAGUCCGGGAGAGGCGAGUGGAAUUCCUGGUGUAGCGGUGAAAUGCGCAGAUAUCAGGAGGAACACCGAUGGCGAAGGCAGGUCUCUGGGCCGAUACUGACGCUGAGGAGCGAAAGCGUGGGGAGCGAACAGG